CCCGUCCUAGAGCGGGCGAGGAACGGGACUAAGCGUCUGCAUUUAUUUUAACACCUGACAAAGAAGAAAUCCACAUAUAUUUAUAUAUCAAUAAAUAUACAUCGAGGAGAACUUGGAGCCAAAGCAUUUGGCAGGAGCAAACACAACGAGAAAACAAAAACAAAAACAAAAGGCAUUAAUUAGAGGGGCAGAUCAGAACGCUCAGAGCGGCAGCGGCGAAGGCGGCGGCGGCGGCAGCGGCGGCGGCGGCGGGGCACCCGCGGCGGCAGCGGCAGCGGCGGCGGCAGCAGCACCGGCGGUACCGGCAGCGGCAGCAGCGGCAGCGGCGGCGGCGGCGGCGGCAGCAGGAGUAGCAGCGGCAGCGGCAGCAAUAAUCACCUGGUCUCCGGGCUUUCCUAGAAACUCCUUGCAUCACCACUUCUAAGAACCCCAGUUCUAAGAAUCAACAGAGCUCAAUUCUCGGAAUUUGAGCUGCCGACUCUACCACUGUGGCGCGGCAGGGGAGGACCCCUUGUCACCCCCGCAGGGCUAGGGUCACGGCGCCCCGCCGCGCGCCCCUCGAACCCCCGGAUUCCGCUACUCCGGCGCCUGUUGUGGGGGGUCUAAGGCGAUGCUGCCCCCCACUCGGCGGGUCCGACCCAAUUUCGGCGGGGUCGGCGGAAGGCUCCCCCCCUGGAGCUUGCCCAAGUGGUAGGGCCCGCUCGACUGCGGUCACGUGGGCGCCUCCUCUGUGACGUCGGCCGCUUCAAUGUAGCAAAGCUCGGCCUCUGGAAUUCUGAGAACUAAUUUGCUAUUCGGUGACAUAAGAGGGGGGAGCGCGCCGCCCGCCCGGGGUCCGGGGCUCCUUCCCUGUCUCGCGCCCAUAAACACCACCACCACGUCCACGUCCACGAGCGCAGGGCACCCCCGGGGGGCAGGGGCUCCCGAGCCAGACAAUAAACACGCAUCCAGGGCACGGGGAGAGAGGCCAGAGGAGGCAGAGGGCGAGCUUGCCACCUAGAAUCUCAGCACGUUGGCAAAGCCGUGUUGAAAAAGCAUUUGACUCAGUGGAACAAAGGACUGCCUUACAGGCUCCUUUACCAGAAGGUGCCUCAUAGCCAUCCAUCAAUCAAAAUCAUUCCAGAUUUCUUAGAAGAUGUAACAACAAAAACAUCCCUUUUUGAUGACUCUCAUGAUAAACAUCAGCACUCACUCAUCUCUCACUUGGACUACUGUAAAAACCUUUUGAUUGAUCUCUCUGCCUUCAAGAGCUUCAAUAGAUCAAUACGGUCCUGUCGGAUGGAUCCUUCUUUGUGCACAUGUGUGCAACCUCUCAGACUGGUUAACAGCCGCCUGUAUCCCAGGGACUUUGCUGGGGAUACAGGGAGGAAAAACAAGAGCAUCCCUGACCUCUAGGCAUUUGCUGUCUAUACGUAUUGCUGAUGAAGAUUUGUUGAUUGAUUAAAGGAUAGUGAAGAGACAGCAUGUGCACAGGUAAGAGGGAGUGAUGGAGGCAAAGGGGAGUUCCAGACAAGAUGCUUUAGGAAAAUC
rnacentral:lncRNA from 1 species